GGCCUGAUGGUCUAGUAGUAUGAUUCCUUGUUAGGGCGCUUGCGUUUCGAGGAGGUCCCGGGUUCAAUUCCCGGUCAGGCCC